rnacentral:rRNA from 1 species
AACGAACGCUGGCGGCAUGCCUAACACAUGCAAGUCGAACGAGACCUUCGGGUCUAGUGGCGCACGCGUGCGUAACGCGUUGGAUCCUGCCCUGAGGUUCGGAAUAACUCCCCGAAAGGGGUGCUAAUACCGGAUAAUGUCUUCCGACCAAAGAUUUAUCGCCUUUGGAUGGGCUCGCGUCGUAUUAGCUAGUUGGUAGGGUAAAAGCCUACCAAUGCGACGAUCCAUAGAUGGUCAGAGAGGAUGAUCAGCCACACUGGGACUGAGACACGGCCCAGACUACUACGGGAGGCAGCAGUGGGGAAUAUUGGAAAAUGGGCGGAAGCCUGAUCCAGCAAUGACGCGUGAGUGAUGAAGGCCUUAGGGUUGUAAAGCUCUUUUACACGGGAUGAUAAUGACAGUACCGGGAGAAUAAGCUCCGGCUAACUCCGUG